CUUAUAGUUGAUUACAAUGGUGUGUUAGUUUCAAGUGACUGAGAUACAUAUAUGCAUAUACACAUAACAUAUAAAUUCCUUUUCAGAUUCUUUUUUUUUUUUUGGCCUUGGUACACAGCAGACUGAUGUGGGAACUUCAGUUCGCAGACAAGGGAAUGAACCCAGGCCACCAGGGCCCACUCCUCUUUCAGUUUCUUCUUUUCCUUUAUAGGUUGUUAUAAGAUAUUGAAUGUAGUUUCCUGUGCUUUACAAUAGAUCCUUGUUGGUUACCUAUUUUUACACAGUGUUGUGUAUACAUUUAUUCCAAACUUCUAAUUUAUCCCUCUCCCCUCCUUUCCCCUUUGGUAACCACAGGUUUGUUUUCUAUGUCUGUGAGUCUAUCUCUUUUUUGUAAAUAAGUUCAUUUGUAUCAUUUCUUAAGUUUCCACAUGUAAGAGAUAUCACAUAUUUGCCUUUCUCUGUCUGACUUUCUUCACUUAGUACGAUAAUCUCCAUGUUCAUCCAUGUCGCUGCAAAGAUUCUGCAUUUCUAAUAAGCGCUCAAAUCCCAGAAAAGAUGUGAAAAAUCUUUUUAUAAGAGUUCAGAGGCAAUCAAUAACAGCUGAAUAUUAAAAUAAGUCUGUGUACCUUGGACACAACCAGAAAUGAGAGCACAUGUAGAGAUGCUCAUUGAUAUGUGGUACAAACCAACUAUAUAAGGGAAAGAAACAAACAAAAAAAUGUAGUGAACUACUAUAUUAAAGUAAUAAAACUAACUCACUUUGCAGUUUCCCUCCAAUCUAGUGUCUCGACAUUGUGUGAUGGAGCACUUGGCCAUGAAGCCACACUGAGUUCAGGGAGCUCUGCCACCACCACCACCAAGUGAGGCUGUGACUACAACGUUCAAUCAUGAUCCAACUUUGACUGAUGGUACCCAGACUGACAUACUUAUAAGACUAGUCCCGGUUUAUCUGGAAACUAUUUUUAUCUGACAUUCCAGUAGGCAAAGAGGUCCUUUUUGACACUAGGUAAAAUAUACUGAGCACUGAUGGACCAAAUACCAAGUCACAAACACCUGCCAGUUCCCUUUAAUUAACCCAUCCUUCAUCUCAAAGCGCAGUUUUACUCCAGAACCACCGUGGUUUUACAGCUUACUGACUAUGCAUUUGCAAAAUUUUGCGAAGUAGCUUUGCUGUUUUAUAGAUAGAUAGAUAGAUAGAUAGAUAGAUAGAUAGAUAGAUAGAUCGAUAGAUCGAUCGAUCGAUCGAUCUCCACAUCCAUGGCAUAUGGGAAUUUCUGAGCCAGGGGCUGAAUCCAAGCUGCAGCUGUGACCUACACCACAGCUGUAGUAAUGCCAGAUCUUUUAACUUACAGUGCUGGACCAGCGAUAGAAUCUAUGUCUCUGCAGUGAAUCUAUCUGCUGAGUUAGAUUCUUAACCCACUGUACCACAGUGGGAAUUCCAAGUAGAUUUAUUUUUAAUUAUUAUAACUCAUGUGCACUAAAUCUGGUUACUGUCAACACAAACAUACAUGUGUAAGAUACUGCUAAACAUACACACACACACACACUGGUUAUAAACCCAGCUAGUAUCCAUGAGGAUGCGAGUUUGAUUCCUGGACUCGCUCAGCGGGUUAAGGAUCCAGCAUGGCCAUGAGCUGUGGUAUAUAUUGAAGACACAGCUCCGAUCUGGUGUUGCUGUGGCUAUGGUAUAGGCCUGCAGCUGCAGCUCUGAUUCAACACCUACCCUGUGAACUUUCAUAUGCCACAGGUGUGGCCCUAAAAAGGAAAAAAAAAUACAUAAAAAAUAAAAAUAAGAAUAUAUUAAAAUAUGUCUUUUGGGGGUUAUAAAGCUUCUUCUGAAUUAGUCACUGCUACCCAGGCCCUCAGGUCCAGACUCCUUACUCUGAUUUCUUGCCUUCAUAUAUUGGUCACAUGUGCCACUGAUGUGGCUUAGCCCUUAAAAACUAAAAUCACCCUUAAAUAUUCACCACCUUUUAGUAUACUUUUUGAGUUCCUAUGUCUUAUGCCUAAUACCUAGCACAAAAACUUUUAAUUCAUAAGAAAUCACAUUCCAUAACCAAAAUGAAUGGUGUUUACAUUGCUAGUUCAAUUUUUUAAAUUUCAAAUUCUGUUCAUUAAAUAACCAUGAAUGACUAGCAUGAUAAAAAGCUACUAACAUCUUGCCAUUUCUGGAAACACCUGAAACUAUAUCCAACCCUACUGUAUAAAACAAAUUUGAAGAAACCAAGUUCUUAACCUUUAUAAAUUCUGAACAAAAUAAAUUACAAGAAAACUUUUAGAAGGAACUUCAUUAACAAUUAGAUAAAUGACAGUGCUUAAGUAAGAGUGAUACCCAGCUUACAGUCACCAAGUCCUAUGAAGUCUACUCCAUCAAUGUGUCUUUCAAAUCCAUCAGUCUCUCACCACCCUAGCUACCAUCAUCUCUUGUUUAGACAUCUUCAAAAUCCAUGGAAUAGUUUCUUGUUUAGACACUGCAAACCCCCUCCACUCUUGAGGACACAUAAUCAGCCGCAUUUUACUGUUCACUGGCUUAAAUCCUUUUACUACAUGGUCUAUACCAGCCCAUCGUCUCCUCCAACCAACCCUCUUCCACUCCUAUGAUGCCAAAGGACAUCUGCACAUACCACUAAUCCCAUUCUCCAUUCUCUAGAUAAGACACAAACAUCUUUCAAAUCUCAGUUCAAGCAUCUUCAGAUGGAGGUCCUCCGUGACCCACCAGGCUAUGCAAUUUCUCUAUUUUGUGUUCCUAUAGUAAUAUUUUCCUUCCCUCACUUUCCCUAGCUGUCACUAUAUAUUCAUUUAUGUAAUUAUGAGAGUACAGUGUCUAAUCAUGUACCUGGCAAAUAUAACAUACACAAUAAAUGAUUAUCAUAAUCCACUUUGCGAUUACUCAGAAACACGUGCUGCCAUGCUGACAGACGAGCUGCUAGUUAGGACUGUCAAGAUGAGAUCCUAUUUAAUUUCUAAUUAAAGUGAGUAUUGUACAAUCCUGAUAAGUGAUUUCACGGUUACAUGCACCAAGAAAUAGGGCAAUACUGGAGGAAAAAUCACAGAUUCUAUUAAUCCAUGAAAAAAUUGUAAUGCACUGUAAGCAUCCAUAGCAUCGAUAUAAAACUCAAUUGGAUCACCGGACAAAAAGUGAUCUAGUCCUUCAUUCUGUCCCUAUUUCCACAUAAACAUAAGAAAUCUUGGAUUACAAUUCUUUUCAUAUACAAUGUAAGCUACUUAGCCCACCACUCUCUUGAAAAGUCAAAAAAUGCUCUUAAUAACUCGGGUCAUUAAAAAGUCCCUCACAUCACACCGGGUACUUCCCUUAGAUUCCUAUCCGGCUUGUCUUUCAAAAUGUUUAUUCAGGUUUGGACGUUUUGUAACUGGUUCUCUCCUUCGGUUACAUAUUGAUACUUUUCCUACAAAUUAGCUCCAACAAGCUUCACCAUCUGCAUUGUACCCACUGCUGUCUGUCAAGCAGGUCAAAUUAAAUCUCAGGAAAACCAGGUGU
ensembl:lncRNA